GUCAAAAUUGCUGUAAUGUGUCCUGCAAAUCACAUUAGUUCUCGCAGCUAGCUGCGUUCUUCAUCGACGCACGAGCCGAAAAUCGGAAGAGCAGUUU